GCUCGCAGUCGUGCGUGGACUCGCCUCCCUCCACCUCCCCCACCUCCCCUUUUCCUCACGGUAUACGGUGUAGAUUCAGCGAAGAAACAUCCACGCGUCAGAGUGAUGAAUGUCUCCUUCCUGCGAGUGACCUCCAAGGUCAGCAGCAGCGGUGGGGGGAAAAAAAUGCGGCCCAUUUCCCUCCCGGCAGCAACAGCAAGGGAAGAAGUCUUUUUUUAACAGCCAGAGAGUCAGAUUUCCUCUAACAACAAAACAACCGGCAAAUCGUGUUUUCCUGGUUGCGUUUAUAAGGAAAGUGAAAUCUAAAGGGAGUUACUACAGCCUCACACAACCAUACAGACCAGCCAUCGAAAGCAGCAGAUUAUUUAGGAUGAUGAUGACGUCAGCAAGAAUUACUGUGCUGUGUGGCUGUGUGGCUCUGCUCCUGACCCUGACUUCUGUGUCAGCUGUAAUACCAAUACUCAAUUCAAUCAAUGAUUUGAUUGAGGUAGACUUCGGCCAGUCUGUGCCGAUCCACAGUCUUGUGCUGCUCCACUGGUUUGCCAACACUGUUGACAUUGACAGAAACGAUGUCAUACAUCUGACCUUUAACCCAAACCAUGAUUAUAGUUCACACUAUUAUGGCAACAGAGGGGAUCUGUUUGAACUAUCACUGGGAUCCAGAUACUACAGCAUUGGUAACAUCAAUGAAUCAACAGCAGCCCAAUUUCCACCUCAUGUCCGAGCCCAGUCAGGACAUGGAAACAGAGUUCGAGUCGUUAUUAGAGUCAGGGAGGCAUCUGGGGUGCGACAAGUAGAGCGAGUCUAUAUCACGCAGCAUUGUUACCCAUUUAACCAUGAAAGGUCAGAUUAUGAUCCAGGUCAAAGGUACGAGGUCACUACCAACCUCUUAAGACAGAUAAGAGAGUUUUCUAUGGACAGUCAUGACAUGAAAUCUUUAAGGUAUCUUAGGGAUCGCUUUGGAAGCAGUGCUGAUGAUUUGCAGUUAGAGCGCAUCAGAAACAUGUGGGGUCACCUUGCUUCUCUCGGACUGUUGUUCCACAUUGUGGGGUAUACUGGGCCAGUACAAUCCUACUGUAACCAAGUCCAGUUGGCAUCGAGAAGAAAUGAUUCAUGGAGCAACAUUCAAGACUGUCUAGGUUUCUUAUGUCGUUUGUUGUUUGCAGUUUUUUUGGUAGUUGCUGUUUUGUUUUCUCUUUUGUUAGCAGCAGCAAAUAAAAAGUGAGUAAACAAUGAGAAGAGAAAACUUGUUCCAAGAUAGACUCAAACUAACUGUAACUGUUGGACCAGAAAACCAUCUGGAUCUUUAUUUUGAACAUGGUCUUCACUUGUUUUGGGGAAAAAAAAAAAAAACAAUUAGCCAGUUGCAACAUCUGUAGUACCACUGAUGAGAAAUUUUGUAAAAGUGUUAUAAAACUUUCCACUUUUCACUUUUUAUUUUUACUCUCUAAUAUGAGUUAAUUUUGUGCUAAGUUUGAAAGUUUUAAAUGGACAGACCCACAGCAUGCUUGCAGUGAAAAUCAAUAUUUUGUAUAUUAGCUACUCAAAAUGGUUCUUACUGUGUAUCAUCUGUACAAUGUCUACUCAUGUCUAAUCUAACAGUAGUGACUCACAGCAGAUUCAUCCAGUGAGGCUCAAGGACAAUAAUGCUGAUGGAGGAAUGACAGACAUGUUGAUUAAGAGUGUAUCUGACUGAUGCUUUUGCAUUUUCUCUGUAAUCUUGAAAAUUUUGUGCUCAUUAAACUGUAUUUUUAAGCGUGA